AAUCCAGACUCCUACGGGAGGCAGCAGUGGGGAAUAUUGGGCAAUGGGGGAAACCCUGACCCAGCGACGCCGCGUGAGGGAAGAAGGUUUUCGGAUUGUAAACCUCUGUCCUUGGUGACGAUAAUGACGGUAGCCAAGGAGGAAGCCACGGCUAACUACGUGCCAGCAGCCGCGGUAAUACGUAGGGGGCAAGCGUUAUCCGGAUUUACUGGGUGUAAAGGGAGCGUAGACGGUUGUAUAAGUCUGGAGUGAAAGCCCGGGGCCCAACCCCGGGACUGCUUUGGAAACUGUGUAACUUGAGUACAGGAGGGGCAGGCGGAAUUCCUGGUGUAGCGGUGAAAUGCGUAGAUAUCAGGAGGAACACCGGCGGCGAAGGCGGCCUGCUGGACUGAAACUGACGUUGAGGCUCGAAAGCGUGGGGAGCAAACAGGAUUAGAUACCCCAGUAUAA
rnacentral:rRNA from 1 species